AUGCAUUUGCAGAGAUUGAGAUGUAAAGUGACCGCGUGCAUGUCUGAGGGGGAGAGCUCCAGGGCAGAUGGCUGUCUCUACAUGUUGACCUACCUGCGUAUCAUGGCUGAUGAGGACAAACUCACUGAAGUGGAAAGGAGUUGCCUGUCAGUGAGACUGGAUUAUCUGAUGGAGACAGUUUUAUGUUCCAACAACCAGAAGCAGACUGCCGGCCCUUAGGACUAAAGCAUGAUGUUUCAGCUCUGAGUGAAUUAUGUAUUAAAGAGGCAGAUGCCUCCUUGCCCAAGGCUUUAUAUGUCCAGCAUGGAUACACUACAGUCUACUGGCUUUCUUCCACUUAAACUUGUGUUUAGCACAGUGCUCUUUGGUGAUGAGCUAGACUCCCACUGCACCUCCACUCAGCACUGCAUUGCCUGGAGAACAGAGGCAUAGUUAGGCUAAUCAGUGUCUUGGCAUCAAGCCUACUUGGCUAUUCUGGAUGUAGCCAGCCACUGACUUGCACAAGUAAGAGAUUUAACUCAUUGCUGAAGGCAAUAUGAUCUGUUCUGUGGUUUAUUUCAAGAAACUGAGACCAGAGCGACACCCUUUCAGAACAUAAUCUGGUUAAGGUUGCAGUACUCGAAUGAUUAUUAAUCUUAUUCACUUUCAUUGUUGGGUUGUUAAUACUAUUUCAUAAUGCCCGAAGCCUGAAAUACUUUCAUCAUCGAUUAAUUUUUCAAUUUGACGACGCAGAGAAGGGUAUAUUCUUUUUCAUCGCUUACUCCCAGCUCCAGGAAUAUCAGUUUGCUUUUAAUGGAUCAUCCUGUCUGUAAAAUGUCAGAAAAGAAUAACAAAAAAAAAACCAAAGUCUCAUUGAAGUUCUCCAAAGAACAUUGUUUUGCCAUUAUUGCUUAUUUGUUUCUAACCAACAGACCAAAGUUUGACAGUAUUUAAUUUUCAAAGUGAUAAUUGAUCCCCUCCAUUAAAAUGACUGACUCUACUGUGGACACUAACUGAAAAAGGUAAUUUAUUCUUCUAGUUGUACAUGUGCAUUUUGUCUGAAACCUGUAUUUUCAGUUUAUUAAUUUAGUGCAAGCAUAGCCUUUAAUAAUCUUUGGCAUCAGUUUAUUAUAACACAAUUACACUCUCUUCAGCUUUGAGCAUGAGAGCGGUGCAUGCUGAUUUCCCUCUCUGGACCGUUUGGUCGUUCUCUGUUUUUAACGGUUAAAUAUAAUUAAUUGGCUAAGGCUAAGAUUGUGUUAGUUAAUCAUAUUCUGUUAGCCCUCUGAAACAGGGAUGGAAGCCAUUACCUGCACAUGCCUUUACUUUCCUCUUUACAACACAGUCUUAAUUAAAACUCUUGGCACCAAUUGUCUUCGCUGCCUCUGUUCAUAGUUGGCAGUGAAGACGCCAAGAUGCCACAGAAAUCUGGCACUGGCUCGGGGCAGGAAGUCUUCAAGUCAGCCUACUUUGGGUCAAAGCCAAGAAGGGGUGAAAUCCAGCGUCGCCUACUCAGAAAUGUUCCCAAUACUUGGAUAUGAGCCCUCUCCUUCCUGUGUCAUUGGGAACCCAUAUGCUUGUUAGAGAGUGUGGGUUAUUUGCUGAGAGGGGAGGGAGAACCAAAGGAGGUGCUUUCCCAGACAGACAUAGAUCUCCCUAGGGUGUUCUUGUGGCUUCUCUGGAUUCCUCUACUUCUAACUGUGCUGGGCAGAAUGGGGUGCAGGGAUAAAUUGCACAACACCACGAGGUUGUGAGUGAUGGCUAAAAUGCUAGGGCCAAAGAAAUACGGAAAGGUAUUAAAGAAAUAAUUGGGGGGGGGGAGAAAGUGUCCCUUUCCUUAUUGAAAGAAAUUCCAGAGCAGUUUCUAACCAUGCAAAAUAACAGGCACAAAGCUCUGACUUGUUGUUCAUGUGGUGCUCUGCCUUGCUUGUGGCUGACUGAGGUGAUUAUUGCUGUGCAGAACAUGCUGUUCUAGGAUCAGCCAUCCAGUGCUUUAAGCCAGCCUUGCUGCCUCUGGUAUGUCUGGUAUGGGGACAACUUAGCCGUCAGCCUGGAAGGGACUGAAGUUGUAGUUUUUAAACUUGUGCUGCCAGAGCCUUUGUCUUUGACUCUUAGUUCUUCCCUUUUCUCUUUUUCUCUUGAGACUCACUCCUGCUGUGGGUCUCUGGAUCUGAUCAUUUGCCUUUUUUUGAUAGUCACAAUCACUUUUCUUUCGCUUCAUUUGUAAUCAAGACACAUUGUGUAUUCUCGAGUGUCACCAAAAUUGUGGCAUUCAUAAGUGUUCCAGGGGAAGCAUCUCAAGUAGAACCUUGUCUCGGAGACUAGAGGCUACGAGAGGCUUGACUCGCUCCAACUCUGGUUUGAUUGAAAUUCUUGGCAUGCAAUAAUCAAAAUACAAUAAACCAUCACCCAUUAAGUAUAUUUGUAGUCAGAAUAGGGUUUGUAGGCUUAUUACACACAAACUAUUAGCAACAUGGCAUUUUAACCAUGUGAUUGUACUGAUGCUGAACGUUGUCAUUCCGUGACACACUAUAUGACACAUCCUCCCACAUUUAAAAGCGUGCUAUUUUUGACGCAUAUUUCUCAACAUCACUCAUGUCUGAGUGCACAGUGUGGCCUUGUUGUGCAACUUUUAAGUACUGCUUCUGUCCAUGCACAGUUGAACGCAGGAAAAAGGUGGAGUCCUCAGACAGUUUGAGACACCUUUCUGCACAGGGGCUGUUUUGAUGAUGGAUGUGUCAUUGAAAAUGAGCGUGUUUAUUUUAACUAAAGUGUAGUGACUAGAAUACACACGUCUAAAUUUGGGUCCAAGGGUCUGUAGAUGAUGUAUAAUUGUAGUGAAAUGCAUUUUUCCUCUUUUGAAUAUUUUGAUGGCAAUGGAUUGACAGCAAAAAGCCCCCACAGGUUAUAGCUGUUAAAAUGCUUGCUUGGAGUGGCUGCCUCACUUCUAAAUAAUAUUAGUUUUUAUUUAUUUAUUUUUUUAUUCUUUACUGGAAGUGAGAAUCUGCAGAAGCAGGACUGUUUUAAAGUAUGAAUAAGUGAAUAAGUAAUACUCUCCCUACAGCAACCAUCAACACAGCAUGCGUGAGUGCGCCUAAAGCUGUCAGGCAGUGUUUCUGUAAACAUGUAAGUUCCACAACUCUUUCUUAGAUUGAUACAGGUAAAAGGGUCAGGUAGCCUAGUGUUUAUAAGGAGAGAUGGCCAAUCGGAUUCAAGCACCUGUGACUCUGUCCCCGCCCAGCCGUCAGCUCUUAGAAGAAGGUGGUAGGAUAAAGGAUCGGAGACCCCCACCACCUCGACCCCUCGGUCAGUGCAGCUGAAGAAUUGCGCACACGGGUCUGACCGGAGCUCAAUGCGCCGGGCAGAGUGUCUUUGAGGCAAAUGCGUUUUGAAAUGAUAAUAUGUAAGUCUUUUGUUUACCCUCAUUUCUGUGAAGUAUGGAGGAGAUAUAUGUAUAUAUAUAUAUUUUUCAUUCUGGCAUCUGAAGCACCAUUCACCCCCCUCCCCCGACUCCCCCCGGAUUAAAAUCUAGGGUUAACUAAUCUCGGUUAAUCUGAACUAAAUCUGUCUAAUCGGCAUAGAAAAUUACACUCACUGAGGUAUUGCCCGCAAAUAAUCAGCGGAGCCGGGCGCCGUAAGUUCUCCCUGAAGGGCAUUUGGACGUUGCACACCGUGCACGCGACAAUUUGUUACGCUCAGACUUUUUUUUUUUUUAAGAGAAAAACCCGUGUCGCAAUUGUGCAGGAAUUUUUCCUUUCUCUGCGUUACACAUUGUCUUGUUUUAUUAGGGGUGGACACGGAGGCUGGCACACAGAGCGCCAUGUGACGCUCCGCCACAAAGAUCAUUAUGCGGAGUUUUGAUUAAGAAUUUGGGGUUUUUGGCCCCUUCGUUAGUAGCCUAACUGAGGCGCAGGAGAGAGGAGGGAGAGCAGCAGAGAAAAGAGGGAGAGAGAGAGAGUUCGGGAUUUCGCUGUAAUCAUGUUUGGAGAGUAUUGAUUUCGUGAGCGCACUCCAAUUGGCAGCAUCUCUACUAUACAGCGCCGGCGCGUCAUCCUCGGUUCACAUCGACGGAACGAGUUGUAAGCAAAUGAGAACAUGUGUGGGAUCUGAGUGAGUGAGAAAAGGCAAGAGGAGGUGUGAUAAAAGCCAAUUUUAUCAUCCCGACGAGUGGAUACGAGAUUUGAUUGCCGGACUAUUUUUCCCUCCUUUAUAUUUUUCAGACAGGGAAUUUAUCGAUUCGUCACAAGCGCACGCCUCUUCAUUAUAAUUGCAGACAGUUGGGUGCUGUUCAGGCUGAAUGGACUUGAAUGUGGCGCUGCCAGCUUAAUCCGUGCAGACUGGAAGAUUUAAUAAUUCACGGUAAUCACGCAUUAUCGCCUCAGUGGAUGCUCUCUACACAGCCCUGGUGAUUUUCCCCCUCUUUCCCGUUUCUUCCUGUUGUCUUCUGGCGGAUUUAUCGACGGCUGCUUUUCUCCUUAUCUGAAAGAUCAUCUGUUGCUGCAACUGGAUUGAGAAGCCCCCAUGACUGACACGGGUUUGAGUGUUUUAAGGUGAUGCGGACUGCCAAAUAAAUAGUUCAGUCACCAUUAGAAAAUUUACUUCAGGUAAAAUGGACAAGAAAUUAUUAUUACUUUUAUUACUUCUGCUAUCUCUACACGCGAGGCUAUGAUUUUGCUUUCAUUCAUCAUGAUUCUUCUACUCCGCUGAAUUGCCCAUUAUUGAUUCAGACUGAGCUUAAUAGCCAUAUUACAAGGCAAAUUCCUACGUGAAGCGAUAUUGAAGACAGCGGGAUACGUGAAUCGUGGAGGUAUUUCCCCACCCUUGCUCUACGUUUGAUUUAUUC
ensembl:lncRNA